CUACGGGAGGCAGCAGUGGGGAAUAUUGGACAAUGGGGGAAACCCUGAUCCAGCAAUGCCACGUGUGUGAAGAAGGCCUGCGGGUUGUAAAGCACUUUCGGUUGGGAGGACUGCUUCUAGCACUAAUAUAGUUGGAAGUUGACGUUACCUUCAGAAGAAGCACCGGCUAACUCCGUGCCAGCAGCCGCGGUAAUACGGGAGGGUGCAGCGUUAAUCGGAAUUACUGGGCGUAAAGCGCGCGUAGGCGGCUAGAUCAGUCGGGUGUGAAAGCCCCGGGCUUAACCGGGGAACUGCAUCCGAUACUGUCUAGCUUGAGUACAGGAGAGGAGAGUGGAAUUCCACAUGUAGCGGUGAAAUGCGUAGAUAUGUGGAGGAACACCAAUGGCGAAGGCAGCUCUCUGGCCUGAUACUGACGCUGAGGUGCGAAAGCGUGGGGAGCAAACAGGAUUAGAUACCCGAGUAGUC
rnacentral:rRNA from 1 species